AUUGGAGAGGAUUUUGGGUGCCCAAACACAGCUGGAUUUGGCGUGGAGCCCAGGUGUUGCAUCGUCUCCCCCACACAGCUCGAGCACCUCAAGUGCUUGCCCCCUGCUGAGCUUCCACCAGGAGCUUGUCCCUUGCAGCGUCCCCAUCUCUUACCUUUAUAUCGCCUUUUCUUGGGCACCCAUUUAGGUCCGUGGCUGCUUACCCAGUUCCUGAUGCCCUAACGAGGUGGCAAUCUUCUUCCAGUUGAUUGUAGAAAUUCAGAUCCGCGUAGAUCCUCUGCUCCAUGCAGCGUUCUGGGUACUGCCCAGUCACUGAGAUGCUCCUGGCUCUAUGAAGACUUGCAAUCAAAGCACCAGACAAAUGCUGUGAGCCAACUAAACUUCCAGCUGCUUUUCUGAGGAAAUCAUCUGAUAGAGUUCUCCCCAAGAGAGACCUGCAGAGCUCCCUCAGAGAGAGGUCCACGGACUACACCACUGUGGAAGCUCCUCAGAUGAGAGGUCAGACCCAAACGUCAUUCCCAGACACCCCAUACAGGCCACACCACACCUCGGUAUCAAAUAAAGCAUAGUUUAUUUGGCAUAGACUGAAAUGAACUGUAACAGAAAUUGAAGUAGAACAAAGCCUAGUUGCACAAACUGGAACGAGUGCAGUUAGAGUCUCAGUUACAAUCUAAUGCAUAAACAAGGUAAAAAGUACAUUUCAGAGUCUCCCAGUCUUCACUUUUUUUACUCAGAGACAUAGUGGCUCACUGAUGCAUUGUACCUCUCAUCUUUUGAAGAGAUGUCAUCACAAGUACAGUUUUAUUUCUCGGUUACAAUGAAUUUGAUCAGGAAAUCAAGAGACUAAUUACGUGCUGCUUUUCAAAUACUGUCUGUACUUCAAAGAGCACUAGGAGCCUGUUUUAAGGCUUUCAAGUUGAGUACAUGAACCUUGUGCAUCAAAUAACUAAUACUUUGAUAUCUAUCAAAAGAGUCAUGAGGGGGAGAGCAAGCUUUUGCUUAAUAAACUCCAAAACCACACGCUAGGCUUUCUCAACCCUGGCUGAAAUGUCACAAAAACAUACAAGGAUACAGACGAUACCAGAUUAACUUAAACAGCCUAACAAUACAAAUCACACUAGUCAGAGUCACCCAGACUGGCCAGUCCAGCUAGGAAACAUGCUAAUCAGUUGUGCCAUACUCCCCUAAGAGUAACAAGUGAGGUUUUACACUAGGAAACAGUAUCUUGCAGAUUAUAUAAAAAAAAUGCCACUGUCUAUAAAACCAGACCAGAUAAAGCAUUUCAGAAUAAACCAUUAGAAAUGCUUUAACAGCUAAAAAGGAAGUUUGAUUACAGGAGGGCUUUCCUAGAUUCCUUCUUUAUAAUUCAGCAAAUCACCAGUCAUUCAUGUCAUUCAAAGAAAAAUACUUUCAGUUCAUUGUUUUUGCAUGACAGUGUCCUGACCUAGUAGUUAUUUACUCCAGUUAUCCCCCAUAAAUACUCAUAUUUUAUUCACACAUUUCUCUACUCUUCGAGAGAUCUUUAAGUCUUUUCAAAGAUGAAGCCAAAAUUACUUUCUGCAGUGAAAAAAGUAAAUUAUGUGAAAACAUUUGCUCUACAACAUCUAUACCUGGUGCUUCACUUUUUCAUCAAGGUUGUUGUAGUCUAUGAGUUACACAAUUUUAGAGUUAGUCACCAAUCGCUGUUACCUAUAGACUAGGUCAGUAGUAGAGAACUUAAUUUCCUUAAAACAAAAUUUAAAUGUCUCUUUUAACACUGCUGAUCCAAUUACAGCUGACCACUUAAAACAUUUUCAGUACGUUGCUUGUGGGCUGAUUUUCAAGUUCUAUCUGUACGUUUAGUAUUUAUUAAACCUUGAUAAGGUUUCAGAACUGAAAAGCUUGACUUGAUUUAAAUACCAAGUCAGUAACAAGAAUUAGUUUUGAAUGACAAUGCUAAGUGGAUAAAAUGCUAAAUUGUGUGCAGGUUUGUCUUUUUUUUUUUUCCUUU